rnacentral:snoRNA from 1 species
AUGCACAUUUACUAGAGGUGAUCGUUGCAAUUAGUACGAUGGCCUUGUAUUAGUGUGCUAGAUUAAUUUGUCUGUCUUAUACAUAUUGGCGACUCAUCAUCGGUAAAAUAACCCGGGGGUUGUCAAGAAUGGACCGACACAAUG